GCCAUGGCUCAGUGGCAGAGCAUCUGCUUUGCAUGCAGAAGGUUUCAGGUUCAAUCCCUGAUAUCUCCA
rnacentral:tRNA from 1 species